rnacentral:rRNA from 1 species
UACGUAGGGUGCGAGCGUUUAAUCGGAAUUACUGGGCGUAAAGCGUGCGCAGGCGGUUUUGUAAGUCUGACGUGAAAUCCCCCGGGCUUAACCUGGGAAUUGCGUUGGAGACUGCAAGGCUGGAGUCUGGCAGAGGGGGGGUAGAAUUCCACGUGUAGCAGUGGAAAUGCGUAGAGAUGUGGAGGAACACCGAUGGCGAAGGCAGCCCCCUGGGCUAACACUGACGCUCAUGCACGAAAAGCGUGGGGGAGCAAACAGGGAUUAGAGUACCCCUGGUA